UACGUAGGAGGCAAGCGUUGUCCGGAAUUAUUGGGCGUAAAGCGCGCGCAGGCGGCUUUGUAAGUUUGGUGUUUAAUCUCAGAGCUCAACUCUGAUUCGCAUCGAAAACUGCAAGGCUUGAGUGCAGAAGAGGAAAGUGGAAUUCCACGUGUAGCGGUGAAAUGCGUAGAGAUGUGGAGGAACACCAGUGGCGAAGGCGACUUUCUGGGCUGUAACUGACGCUGAGGCGCGAAAGCGUGGGGAGCAAACAGG
rnacentral:rRNA from 1 species